GUUCAAGAAGGGAUGCUAUGUGAGAUGCAGAGGAGAUUCCUUUCUGAAAGAGCAAAUUGUGGCACCUGGGAGAACUGGACUUCCCUCCUGACUGGCAGAAAGGAGCACAUUUAGUGGUUCAUGCAGAGCCACCCCAAAUCCCCACAUCCCUCACAAACAGUGUAGAUAUAUCUGUUUAGGGUGACCUUCAGGACUGUAGCACAUUGAUUUGUCUCCCAACAGAGUGCCUGUGUGGACAGACACCAACCGAACCAGCAGCAGUGAUGGCCUUGGCUGAUUUUCACUACACCACAGGCAUCAGCAGUGGCUUCAAGGUCUACAUCUUGGAAGGCCAUUCUUCCUUUGAGCAUGAGCAGAAGUUCCAUCGCCUCCCGGCCCAUCGGCUACCUGUCUAUUCAAUCAAACGCAAGCCCAGCAUUGAUGUGAGAAGCCCAGGGCGAAGCUCAGAAGGCCAGAAAGCAUCGAAAAUCCAGCGAUCCGGUUGUGGAUCCGUUGCAGUGCCUCAGGUGCAGAGGACUUCUUCUGUCUCCAUUCCAGUCGCUGUGUCUUGUGUCAGCACCUCUAGACCUGAGCCCUCCAGGAAGUCCCAGGCCCUUCACCCAUCCUGCCCACAUAAAUGUCCUCUAAGGAAGCCCCUGCUGGAUCCAGCCCUCCCAGCAUCCCAGCUGCAGCAGAUGCGCCCUUCAGUCAUCACUUGCGCUCCCCGCCGGAACACUCCAGAGUCACCUACAAGCACCAGUCCCACACAGAUUUCCCCAAUCAGGCACAGGAACUACAUGGCCCCUGACUCUCCCUACGCAGAGAGAGCCCAACACCUGUGGGCCACCAGUGCACCAGAGCUUCCAGAGCAAUUGGGUAAAGAAACAUCUCCUGAGCAACUGACCAAGGAGGCCAGCAAGAAACUGCAGCCCAGCCCUUGAAGGUCAUUGGCCUUGACCUGAAAUCCUUGUGGAACAAGGAAGUGGAGCCUGUGGCUCUCCAGCUACUGUUGGACUCCAACCCCCAUCAGCCCCAAUCAUGAUGACCAACAGUCAGGAUUUAUGGAAGUAGCAGUGAAGAAACUGUCAGUCAAGGCACCCUAUCUUUUAUACACCUGAAGCCUUAGACCUGGCAUGUUCCUUUUCAUGUCUUCAAAGCAUCUCUUAUUCUUGGCUAAGAGCCUUUCCUCAAAAACUGUGGCAUGUAUUUGUUCAUUUUUCAGCCCUGUAAUUAGCAACAUCAUUCAGACUGCUAGAUUCACUCAUGAGAAAAUCUCACUGGUUCCAAUGGAGCUGUUACCCAAGUGACUGCACUCAUUACAUAGUAAUUGUUUUGGCCUAGAACAAAUAACUGGAAGUCCAUCUAGUCCAUUUUGUUUCCAGAUGUAAUCACCCGGAUGCCCCUGGGAAGCCCAGCAGAAGAAGGGCAUGAAGGUGAUUAUUUUUCUCCCUCUUUGUCUCUCAAAGGGGAAAUGUUUUCUGCUUUGCAAUACCAAGGUUCAGUUGAGUUAUCCUCUGCACUGGGACUGGGACUGGCACUACAGUCCACCAGACAUCACAGAACCCCAGUUCACAGACAAGGUGAUGACAAGGAAUAAUAGGAGUUGUAUGUAGUUCAUUAACAUCUGGAAGAUCACGUUUGUCCAGUACUACGCUAUUCUGCCAGUAAACCCAUUUUGCCCCAAAUGUGAAUGGCAUCCUUAUGAAUUAAAACAGUACCAAUCAGGAACAAGAAGGAGGCAUCUGCCAAACUUAGAGAAGCCCAAGGUGUGUCAAACUACAGAAGAGGUUAAAGGGUCAAGGAACAGGGAACAGGGAAAUGAAACUAGAAGCAGCACACACAGAAGCAGAGUGCUUAGCUGCUGACAGCAAAACCGGAAAAUUGGGGCGAAAUAAUGUUUUGCGAAAAGGAGACACUGCACCGACAAAGGGUGAAUGCCUGCUGCAGCAUUUUGUUGCAACUCCUCGCAAACAAUCCUUGAACAACAUUCUGUGAAUCUGCCAAUCCACCUUUUUUUUGGGGGGGAGGUGUGUGUACACAUGUUCACGUGUGCAAAAAGUUUGUUUAAUAUAGUUGUACAUCCACUGGUAAUUUUAUCUUGACCAUUGACCACUCUUUCCUACAAGUCACAUUUUCAUAAUGUCAGAAAAUGACUGUGCUAUGCUGGCUGAAAGUGCUUUGCAAUGAGACAGAAAAACUAAAAAAAACCCAAAGCUGGCUUAUCACUCUGAAAAGCUUGGUUAGCAGAGAACAAGGACAAAUGAGAAACUUUUUUAACAGGAUUUCCUGACUGCAAAUGGAUAGACAAAUUACAAGAAAUAUCCUCAAGUCAAGCUUGAAUUAUGGUGACCUGGUGAUAGAAACAACCACACAGUUUUCUUGGCAAAAUUAUGGAAGUGGUUUGCCAUUGCCUUCUUUUGGAAAGAAGCCGGGAAUUAGACCACGAGUUUCUUCUUGCAAAGCAAUUGCUCAGAAGCUACAGCCACUCUUGUAAUAAAGUAUAGGAAAGGGAAAAUGAUAGCUGACCA
rnacentral:lncRNA from 1 species